UACGAAGGGGGCUAGCGUUGUUCGGAAUCACUGGGCGUAAAGGGCGCGCAGGCGGCCAUUCAAGUCAGAUGUGAAAGCCCCGGGCUCAACCUGGGAGGUGCAUUUGGGACUGGAUGGCUUGAGAUCGGGAGAGGAGAGUGGAAUUCCCAGUGUAGAGGUGAAAUUCGUAGAUAUCAGGAGGAACACCUGCGGUGUAGACGGCUUUCUGGACCAUUGCUGACGCUGAGACACGAAAGCGUGGGUAGCAAACAGG
rnacentral:rRNA from 1 species